rnacentral:misc_RNA from 1 species
GAUGAAGAACGUAGCAAAAUGCGAUAAGUAAUGUGAAUUGCAGAAUUCAGUGAAUCAUCGAAUCUUUGAACGCACAUUGCGCCCUGUGGUAUUCCGCAGGGCAUGCCUGUUCGAGCGUCAUUUCAACCCUCAAGCCCCGCUUGGUGUUGGGCCCCGCCCGCUGUGGCCGGCCCUAAAGACAGUGGCGGCGCCGCCUGGCCCUCAGCGUAGUACAUCUCUCGCUCCAGGGUCCGGUGGCCGCCUGCCAGAACCCCCCAACUCUGUGGUUGACCUCGGAUCAGGUAGGGAUACCCGCUGAACUUAAGCAUAUCAAUAAGCGGAGGA